rnacentral:lncRNA from 1 species
CCUCUUCAAUGUCUGACCAUUCCCUGCCUCUGUUUAUUUUGUCCACUGGAACCAGUUAUCUAUGGGAGUCCUGAAUGUAUUCAGAUGACCUAAAAAAGUGAUACUGCAAAACAAGAAAAUGGAAGUGUGCAAUGCUCAAUGAGGAGAGCAGGUAUCCCUUCUUCUCCUGUAAAAUGAAGCACACCUGGUAGAAAUGUUGUGCAUUCUGGUCCAGUGAUGAUCUGCAACCCCCUCAGUCUUUUGGAAUACCCAGUUCACUGUUGAGGUGCUCCUUGUGUCACCAUCUGCAUGGCCACGGCUGGGAAGGAGCUGAUCUUCUGAGCCGUGGGCAGCUCUACCUGCCUACAGAGCUACAAGCGAAUGAAGUGCUGAUAAACUGAAGCUGCAGCUGUGGACUCCAGAGAGACAGAGAUGCCUUGGGACAAUUUAGGUCACUAGCAAAGCACAGCCAAAGGAUGAGAAAUCUGUGCCAAAGCCCAUGCUUUGGUGUCCUGUCUACUACAGCUCCCAGGAUAAAACCAGCAGGAGUUUUACUAAAUACGAUUUCAAGGAGGGCUGCUGCUGGGAACCAAUAACCAAGGCACAUCUCACAGCAGCAUCUCACAGUUCAAAGUGUGUAGAAGACCUUGUAAAACAGGCCCACUGUGGAAAGAAGCAUUUAUUUGCUGCAUCUCUUGCCAAUUUUGUUUUUCCAUGUGCAGAGCUGGCAGAGACAGGGAGACAGGUAUCACUCAGAGAUACCUCAUUGCCUUAUGAAGCUAAUUGCUCUGCACUAUGAGCAUGGACUCAUCUGGACAAUCUGAGUAAUGGAUACUACAUUGGAGGCUGCCCUACAAGGACUUCCUCUGGAACUCUGGUAAGGAAUAGUUUUGCCUAACGUUUUCAAAUGGAGAGAAAUAACAACAUGGCUCUGCCUGAAAGUGAAGGGAAGGUUAGAAAUUUCACAAG